rnacentral:pre_miRNA from 15 species
CAUCUCCGGACUUCCGGAACGUGGUGGGCUCCGUGCCAGAUGCGCGUUUACACUGCACCGUUCUAAAGAAUUCUGUAAAUGCACUAUCUGGUACGACAGCCCACUACGUGCACUCGUCUCUUUUAAUUU